CAGUCAUUACCAAGGCUUUUAGAAUCCGGUUUCUGAAUUGCUGUGGGCAUGACCUUGGACAAAAUGCCCCACCGGGUUUGUCUUCUGCUAUCUUGCUAGCAUCCAACAAAUGGGGGAGGGGU